rnacentral:rRNA from 1 species
GAUGAACGCUGGCGGCGUGCCUAAUACAUGCAAGUCGAGCGAACAGACGAGGAGCUUGCUCCUCUGACGUUAGCGGCGGACGGGUGAGUAACACGUGGAUAACCUACCUAUAAGACUGGGAUAACUUCGGGAAACCGGAGCUAAUACCGGAUAAUAUAUUGAACCGCAUGGUUCAAUAGUGAAAGACGGUUUUGCUGUCACUUAUAGAUGGAUCCGCGCCGGAUUAGCUAGUUGGUAAGGUAACGGCUUACCAAGGCGACGAUGCGUAGCUGACCUGAGAGGAUGAUCAGGCACCCUGGAAGUGAGACACGGUCCAGACUCCUACGGGAGGCAGCAGGGGGGAAUAUUGGGCAAUGGGCGAAAGGCUGAUCAAGCCAUGCGGCGUGGGUGAAGAAGGUCUUUGGAUUGUAAAGCACUUUAAGUUGGGAGGAAGGGCAGUAAGUUAAUACCUGGCCGUUUUGACGUUACCAACAGAAUAAGCACCGGCUAACUUCGUG